rnacentral:tRNA from 1 species
GUCAGAAUGGCUGAGUGGUCUAAGGCGCCAGACUUAAGAUCUGGUCCUCGUAUGAGGGCGUGGGUUCGAACCCCACUUCUGACA